rnacentral:SRP_RNA from 1 species
GUUGGGAGUUGUGGCGUGCUCCUGUGAUCCAGCUACCUGGAGACCGGAGUCGGUGAACGGUGUGAGGGCAGGAGUCCUGCUUUCAGGUGUUCUAUGUUGAGCGGGCGUCCGCACUAAGAUCGGUAUCAAUAUGGGCACACCGAGGGAGCUCAGUGUGACCAGGUUGUCUAAGGAGGGACGUACAGGCCAAGGGCGGAAACGCAGCAGGCAAAAGUCCCCGUGUCGAUCAGUAGUGGGAUCGCGCCUGUGAAUCGGUAUCUGUCAGCAAUAAAAUAUAUUUGGACUCGGCUCUUU